rnacentral:piRNA from 1 species
UUCUGCAACUCAAGAUUCAGGAGAGC